CGGCUCUGGCGGAUCCUGGCUGAAUGGCGGCUCUGGCGGAUCCUGGCAGACUGGCGGCUCUGGCGGAUCCUGGCAGACUGGCGGCUCUGGCGGAUCCUGGCAGACUGGCGGCUCUGGCGGAUCCUGGCAGACUGGCGGCUCUGGCGGAUCCUGGCAGACUGGCGGCUCUGGCAGACUGGCGGCUCUGGCGACUCCUUGCAGACUGGCGGCUCUGGCGGCUCCUUGCAGACUGACGGCUCUGGCGGCUCCUGGCUGACUGACGGCUCUGGCGGAUCCUGGCUGACUGACGGCUCUGGCGGAUCCUGGCUGACUGACGGCUCUGGCGGAUCCUGGCUGACUGGCGGCUCUGGCGGAUCCUGGCUGACUGGCGGCUCUGGCGGAUCCUGGCUGACUGGCGGCUCUGGCGGAUCCUGGCAGACUGGCGGCUCUGGCGGAUCCUGGCAGACUGGCGGCUCUGGCGGAUCCUGGCAGACUGGCGGCUCUGGCGGAUCCUGGCAGACUGGCGGCUCUGGCGGCUCCUGGCAGACUGGCGGCUCUGGCGACUCCUUGCAGACUGCGGCUCUGGCGGCUCCUUGCAGACUGGCGGCUCUGGCGGCUCCUUGCAGACUGGCGGCUCCUUGCAAACUGGCGGCUCUGGCAGCUCUGGACAGGCGGGAGACUCUAGCAGCUCUGGACAGGCGGGAGACUCUAGCAGCUCUGGACAGGCGGGAGACUCUAGCAGCUCUGGACAGGCGGGAGACUCUCGCAGCUCUGGACAGGCGGGAGACUCUAGCAGCUCUGGACAGGCGGGAGACUCUAGCAGCUCUGGACAGGCGGGAGACUCUAGCAGCUCUGGACAGGCGGGAGACUCUAGCAGCUCUGGACAGGCGGGAGACUCUAGCAGCUCUGGACAGGCGGGAGACUCUAGCAGCUCUGGACAGGCGGGAGACUCUAGCAGCCCCUGGAGAGGAGGAAGGCUCUGGCAGCGCUGAAAAGGCGGGAGCACCCGUAGGGAUGAGACUGAGAGAGAGCCUGGAGCGGGGGGCUGCCACUGGAGGGCUGGUGCGUGGAGGUGGUACUGGAUAG
rnacentral:lncRNA from 1 species